AUGUGCUUGCCUGGGCCCAUCAGGAGGCAGGUUUCCAUUGGCCCAUCAGGAGGCAGGUUUCCAUUGGCCCAUCAGGANNNNNNNNNNCUCAAUGACAUUCAUAGACUUGUCCCGAAGCCACUCAAUCUAAGGUCCUGGCUCUCAAGAGAAGACAGGCUACGACGGCCUCUCUCAAUAUUAAGAAUUCGCUCACUGAUUCAUUCUCUCUCUCUAGGCUACCUGCUACCCUCUCUCUCUCUCUGUGUUACCUGCUUCUCUCUCUAUCUCAUCAUCACUGUCCCUCUCUCUGACCUUCAUCACUGUCCCUCUCAGACCUUCAUCACUGUCCCUCUCUCAGACCGUCAUCACUGUCCCUCUCUCAGACCUUCAUCACUGUUCCUCUCUGACCUUCAUCACUGUCCCUCUCUCAGACCUUCAUCACUGUCCCUCUCUCAAACCUUCAUCACUGUCCCUCUCUCAAACAUUCAUCACUGUCCCUCUCUCAGACCUUCAUCACUGUCACUCUCUCAGACGUUNNNNNNNNNNGGUGAUGCCACCAGUCCAUACAGCCUCUCGGUUCAGCCACAAGGUGAUGCCACCAGUCCAUACAACCUCUCGGUUCAGCCACAAGGUGGUGCCACCAGGACAUACCAGAGCCACCAUAUACCUCAAACUGUCGCUCCUCCUAUUGGAGGCCUGCUGACCCCUAACCCCUCCCCGACCUCCGACCUCUCCUUCCUCUACAGUGACAGAGACAAGGUAGAGAUCAGUAUCCUAGCCCAGCAGAUCUCCUCUCUGGCCUCCAGCUUCGACCUGUUCAACACCCUGAGCCCCAUCCAGACCCCACGUCAGCCCAGCUCAGAACCCCUUCCCUGGGCACAGCUCCCAGGCCACUCCCCUGUCCCCCUCCGCAUCAAGCCAGAGCUGGUCCUGGAUGAGGGAGUGUUUGAUAGUCUCCUGAAGGAUCUGAGCAUGGUUCAGGGACCUGGGNNNNNNNNNNUAUGUAAUGGAAUCGGCAAAUAG
rnacentral:lncRNA from 13 species